rnacentral:lncRNA from 1 species
UCACAGCUGACUUGAUACCAGCACUGAGGCCUGACCUCUCGAUCCUUCAGCACUUCAGAGGUUAAUUUUGUUGGGGGAUCGGAUUUCUUUCCUGGCCUGGGGAAUGGUGAUCCCUGCUAGCUAGUCCUUUAGUUACAGAGUUGCUGGGUGCCUGGGAUUCCCUGGCCCAGUGUGGGCUGGCUCAGCUGGCUAAAGGACUUGCCAUCCUGUGAGAUUCAUUCAGCUUCUUUGUCCGCUGUUCUCCAAGGGCCGCAAUGUAGUGAAAUGCUCUGGCCUAGGAACCUUACAAG